GCCGGUGUAGCUCAAUAGGCAGAGCAGCUGACUUGUAAUCAGCAGGUUGGCGGUUCGAGUCCGCCCGCCGGCU
rnacentral:tRNA from 1 species